UCAUUGCAGCACUACUUAUGGCAAAAUGAAAAGAAUCCAAAAAACUAACAGCAAAAAACCAAUUAAAUACUGUAUUAUGAUUUUUCCCAAUCUGAGUUCUUGAUUGGCAAACGUUGAAAACCAACGAUAAUUUAUGAAGCAAAAAGUGAAUUUACGAAAAGGAUAUCUGAUAGCACUGAAAACUGAAGAAACAACUGGAGAAAAUGUACCCAAGGACAAUUAUGCAUCUGGAGGUAUACCCAUGAUCACACCUCAGUGACACUCAGAUCCCUGUAUUCUGCCUAUGCGUGCUUCAUCGACUUCCCUGGUAGAAGGCAUGGCUCUGCCUCCCAUCUAAGAAAGGGAGACAACUGUCACACAUUCUUUUGAGAUGGAACAGCCAACAGCUGGCAAUCCCAUCGGCCAUUCAGAAUGCUGCAGAACUCUCCAGUGAAGACUGCCUUACGCUGAAGCACGUAGGGCCAGACAGGUCACACGCAGUGCUGCUGGAGACCCGACAUGGCCCUCUCGCCCACCUCGCCAUUUGUACAGCAUGGAAUUCCUCUCUAGAAUUUGCGAGGUUGUGCUUUGUGGAGAUUGUGGAGAAGUGCGUCUCAGGAGAGCCCUCCAGUUUCUUGGCUGAGUUGACCCU